UACGUAGGGGGCAAGCGUUGUCCGGAUUUAUUGGGCGUAAAGAGCGUGUAGGCGGCUUUACAGGUCCGUUGUGAAAACUCGGGGCUCAACCUCGAGACGCCGGUGGAAACCGUAAAGCUAGAGUCCGGAAGAGGAGAGUGGAAUUCCUGGUGUAGCGGUGAAAUGCGCAGAUAUCAGGAAGAACACCCGUGGCGAAGGCGGCUCUCUGGGACGGUACUGACGCUGAGGUGCGAAAGCGUGGGGAGCAAACAGG
rnacentral:rRNA from 1 species